rnacentral:rRNA from 1 species
CCUACGGGAGGCAGCAGUGGGGAAUAUUGCGCAAUGGGCGAAAGCCUGACGCAGCGAAGCCGCGUGAGGGAUGAAUGUCUUCGGAUCGUAAACCUCUGUCAGCAGGGAAGAACGGUCACUGUGCUAAUCAGCAGUGAAUUUACGGUACCUGCAAAGGAAGCACCGGCUAACUCCGUGCCCGCAGCCGCGGUAAUACGGAGGGUGCGAGCGUUAAUCGGAAUUCCUGGGGGUAACGCGCUCGUAGGCGGUAUGUCAAGUCAAGGGUGAAAUGCCCGCGCUCAACGUGGGAACUGCCUUUGAAACUGGCAAACUGGAGGUUGUGAGAGGAUAGUGGAAUUCCAGGUGUAUGAGUGAAA